rnacentral:piRNA from 1 species
GCAUAUUAUGCAGGUGGGACCGAUUGUAGG